GAUGAAGAACGUAGCGAAACGCGAUAGGUAAUGUGAAUUGCAGAAUUCAGUGAAUCAUCGAAUCUUUGAACGCACAUUGCGCCCGCCAGUAUUCUGGCGGGCAUGCCUGUUCGAGCGUCAUUUCAACCAUCAAGCCCCCGGCUUGUGUUGGGGACCUGCGGCUGCCGCAGGCCCUGAAAACCAGUGGCGGGCUCGCUAGUCACUCCGAGCGUAGUAAUACAUCUCGCUCAGGGCGUGCUGCGGGUUCCGGCCGUUAAAAAGCCUUAUUUACCCAAGGUUGACCUCGGAUCAGGUAGGAAGACCCGCUGAACUUAAGCAUAUCAAUAAGCGGAGGA
rnacentral:misc_RNA from 1 species